rnacentral:tRNA from 1 species
UGGGACCAGGAGGAGUUGAACCUCC